rnacentral:rRNA from 4 species
UCGGAUUAGCUAGUUGGUGGGGUAAAGGCUCACCAAGGCGACGAUCCGUAACUGGUCUGAGAGGAUGAUCAGUCACACUGGAACUGAGACACGGUCCAGACUCCUACGGGAGGCAGCAGUGGGGAAUAUUGGACAAUGGGCGAAAGCCUGAUCCAGCCAUGCCGCGUGUGUGAAGAAGGUCUUCGGAUUGUAAAGCACUUUAAGUUGGGAGGAAGGGUCGUUACCUAAUACGUGACGGUUUUGACGUUACCGACAGAAUAAGCACCGGCUAACUCUGUGCCAGCAGCCGCGGUAAUACAGAGGGUGCAAGCGUUAAUCGGAAUUACUGGGCGUAAAGCGCGCGUAGGUGGUUUGUCAAGUUGAAUGUGAAAUCCCCGGGCUCAACCUGGGAACUGCAUCCAAAACUGGCAAGCUA